GGAUUCUUAGUAUAUUUAAGUAUACUUGAUUGCAGAUCAGGUGGUUUAGAGUCUU
rnacentral:tRNA from 1 species